rnacentral:tRNA from 1 species
UUCAGUGUGGCGAAGUGGUUUGAGUGCUGGACUACAACUCUGGAGACCAGGGUUCGAUUCCCAUCUGGUGCAA